CCUGCCAGGGGAGACAAAGGUAGGGUCACCAUCUUGGAGCCGCUGCUCACGUGUCCAGCAAGUUACCUACUGAGCGCCUACUGGGGGCUGCCUUGGGGAGAUUUACCUUUCAGAUGGUGAAGCAGAACAAAGACAAGCAAGGCGAGGGAGCACAUCUAGCGCAGUGUGGGUGCUCACAUCACAGCAAAUAUUUGUCCCGAUACGUGUCCUAGGGAGCGUAGAAGCAUCGUCUCCACCUCACCGGAAGCCAGGAUGGCAGCAUUGAGAACAUACCUCUCCGUUGGCAAAGCCGUACUGCAAGGCCACCAGAAAUCCCUGGAACAAUGGGAAAAUAGAGUGUGAACUCCUGCUCGGUAGAAGACAUGUCUGUGGAUCCCCGAGAAGAGUGUCUGCCGCGCUGGCUGGUGCCUCUGCUUACCCAGACAGCCUUCUGGGUACUAGGGGUACAAUUAAGUCCAUUAUAGUUGGACUCCCAAGACACGGGGUCAUUCACUCAAUGGGACAAAUGCGGGGAAGGCUCUGGUCCCAUUUUUACUUUUCUGUGGUGGUUACUGACUAACUCAUUUCUACCUCCUCUUUUUUUCCCUUGCUAUGAGUCUCACUACAUAGCCCUGGCUGGCCUUGAACUCACAGAAAUCUGAUUGCCUCUGCCUCCAAGUGCUGCUGACUUGUAUUCUUUCACCGAGCCUGUGGCACAACUAUCAGUCAUGAGAUUCUCAUGUUUUAGGAGGGCUAUCACCGUAACAAUUGGCCCAAACAGGCUCUGUGACAGGAGCAAGGCCAUUGAGAGCCCUUUUCACUGGAAAGGAGAGUAGACUGUACUCUCUCCCCCAUGUCCGUCAUGAUAAUUAUAACCAUGGGCAGUCUAAGCAUAGAGAAGGCUGCUGGCAUCUUCCCAUGUCACAGAGAGAGCCCAUCUGGGCAUGAAGCCAACAAGAGAGACCAGUGAUGGGGGAGACAGAUGGCUCGUGGAUUGUUUGUGGACUGCAUCCAGUUAUGGCCGGUCCCGAAAUUUUCACUUGCGCGCCUUAAUAAACACCCUUAGCCCUUGUCUAGCUAUUCUCUUAAUAAACACCCUUAGCUCUCA